CAAAACUCUUUCUACUGCUCAAUCAUCUUCCUGGGAAAAAAUAUCAGAUGGCAGGAUCGAGAGGGAGCAGUGUUGCCUGGACAGUGUGGGAAGCAGGACAAUAAGACACUGCAGGCCUCAGAAGGAUCAAAGUAAAUCAGCCAUGCCUAGCAUAUACUGAAACCAUAUCUGCAAGUUCUGAAGAUCAUGGAACACACAGAAUGUUUGUUGAAUUCAUAUCAAGAUGAAUGAAAAUAAGCGUGGAAAAGAAAC
rnacentral:lncRNA from 1 species